GAGAAGAAGCAAUAGUUACUCCAGAUCUUACUUCCCUCAUCAGCAUCCAUACAGGCUCAGAUAUACCUGGAACAAAUUCUUGGAGGCACUCUAACAGGCAUUGGGAUUGCAGAGGUAGACAAGGAGGAGAAGACUUAACCUCACAGAGCUCACAUUCUGCUGGAGAAGAUACAAGCUAAACAAGUAAGCAAAUGUAGAGAUGACAUGAUUUCAUAUAGUGGUAAAAACUAUGAGGAAAUUAAAGCAAAUCAUGGUAGAGAGAGAUGGG
rnacentral:lncRNA from 1 species